rnacentral:rRNA from 1 species
UGGUGCCAGCAGCCGCGGUAAUUCCAGCUCCAAUAGCGUAUAUUAAAGUUGUUGCAGUUAAAAAGCUCGUAGUUGAAUUUCGGGAUUAGUGCGCCGGUCGUGCCUUCGGUAUGUACUGGUGUUACUGGUUCCUACCUUCUGACGAACUGUCAUGUCAUUAAUUUGGUGUGGCGGGGAAUCAGGACUGUUACUUUGAAAAAAUUAGAGUGUUUAAAGCAGGCUCGCGCUUGAAUACAUUAGCAUGGAAUAAUGAAAUAGGACGUUCGAUCCUAUUUUGUUGGUUUCUAGGAUUGACGUAAUGAUUAAUAGGGAUAGUUGGGGGCAUUAGUAUUCAAUUGUCAGAGGUGAAAUUCUUGGAUUUAUUGAAGACUAACUACUGCGAAAGCAUUUGCCAAGGAUGUUUUCAUUAAUCAAGAACGAAAGUUAGGGGAUCGAAGACGAUCAGAUACCGUCGUAGUCUUAACCAUAAACUAUGCCGACUAGGAU